UACGUAGGGUGCGAGCGUUAAUCGGAAUUACUGGGCGUAAAGUGUGUGCAGGCGGCCUUGCAAGUCGAGUGUGAAAUCCCCGGGCUUAACUUGGGAAUGGCGCUCGAAACUACGGGGCUCGAGUGUGGCAGAGGGGGGUGGAAUUCCACGUGUAGCGGUGAAAUGCGUAGAGAUGUGGAGGAACACCAAUGGCGAAGGCAGCCCCCUGGGCCAACACUGACGCUCAUGCACGAAAGCGUGGGGAGCAAACAGG
rnacentral:rRNA from 1 species